rnacentral:misc_RNA from 1 species
GGGAAUUGGAACUGGCUUCAAACUCUCAAAUAAGUGAAAGGAGCGAGCUAGCGCAACCAAAUGAUACUGUUGACUUUACUUAUGAUAUUCCCUAUCAGAGGCGUAGGACAGAAGGACAGUUUAAUGAGAGUUGUUCUCGCAUUAACAUGGUGGAGUCAAGCUAUGGAGUUGAGGGAAAUUACGACGUUGACAGCAGUGGAGCUAACUUGGGGGAAGUGAGUCAAGGUAAUGCUGGCAUUUUGCAAGAAAGCUAUGGUCUGGCUGAAGGAAGUGGAUUUGGCAAUAUUGAGAGGCCCACUAUUGAUGAAUUUGAUUUUGAUAUAAGUAAUUUUUUUGGGGAAGAUAAUUCACCUAGUCUUCUUGACACAAAUUUUCCUUCAACUGAGUUUGGAAAUUUGCCCCCUAUUCCAUGUAUAAGUACUUCAAUGGAGUUCAGAAAUUCAUCUCCUACCCAUACUUCUUCUCCUGGUGUUUUGCCUGAUGAGCGUGCAACUCUUCCUUCAACUGAAAUUGGAAUUCCUCUAACAGAAUUUGAAAUUUCUCCACAGCCACCUCAAGUUGCAAGCACAUCUGCAGGAGACAUUAUUGGAGCUUAUAAAAUGCAAGUGGAUUUUCAUGGUUUUUAUGUACGAAACCAUCUUAUCCCUUACCUAGAAUGCAUUUAUUUGAAAAUGGGUGAGUUUUGGAGAGAUUCCAAGAUACGGAAUGCUGAUACGGUAACAUCACUUUUAAAUGGACUCGGAGAGGCAUUGUACCUGAUGAAGCACU